rnacentral:rRNA from 1 species
GACGAACGCUGGCGGCGUGCUUAACACAUGCAAGUCGAACGGAAAGGCCCUGCUUUUGUGGGGUGCUCGAGUGGCGAACGGGUGAGUAACACGUGAGUAACCUGCCCUUGACUUUGGGAUAACUUCAGGAAACUGGGGCUAAUACCGGAUAUGAGCUCCUGCUGCAUGUUGGGGGUUGGAAAGUUUCGGCGGUUGGGGAUGGACUCGCGGCUUAUCAGCUUGUUGGUGGGGUAGUGGCUUACCAAGGCUUUGACGGGUAGCCGGCCUGCGAGGGUGACCGGCCACAAUGGGACUGAGAUACGGCCCAGACGCCUACGGGAGGCAGCAGUGGGGAAUAUUGCACAAUGGGCGGAAGCCUGAUGCAGCAACGCCGCGUGCGGGAUGACGGCCUUCGGGUUGUAAACCGCUUUCGCCUGUGACGAAGCGUGAGUGACGGUAAUGGGUAAAGAAGCACCGGCUAACUACGUG